rnacentral:rRNA from 1 species
CGAACGCUGGCGGCGUGCUUAACACAUGCAAGUCGGACGCGAAAGGGACUUCGGUCCUGAGUAAAGUGGCGCACGGGUGAGUAACGCGUAGAUAACCUGUCUUCAUGUCUGGAAUAAUACGCCGAAAGGGGUACUAAUACCGGAUAUUCUUGCUUUUCAUAAGUUAUGCAAGCAAAGGUGGCCUCUGCAUAUGCUACUGCAUGAAGAGGGGUCUGCGUACCAUUAGCUAAUAGGUGGGGUAAUGGCCUACCUAGGCGACGAUGGUUAGCGGGUCUGAGAGGAUGAUCCGCCACACUGGCACUGGAACACGGGCCAGACUCCUACGGGAGGCAGCAGUGAGGAAUAUUGCGCAAUGGGGGAAACCCUGACGCAGCGACGCCGCGUGAGUGAAGGAAGGCCUUCGGGUCGUAAAGCUCUGUCAAGAGGAAAGAAGUGUACAAUGGCUAAUACCUGUUGUAUUUGACGGUACCUCUAAAGGAAGCACCGGCUAACUCCGUGCCAGCCGCUGC